ACCAAGGUGUUAGGAGCUAGGGUUCUGCCGGUUCUAGGGCGGAGAUUGUAGGGGUAAGAUGGAGGAAGACGAGGACGAGGGCGCGGCGGCCGGCGGCUGGGCGCCGUCCUUGCGUGGUGGAGAAGAGGCGGCGGCGGCGCAAGAGGCGGCUAGG